rnacentral:rRNA from 1 species
GGGGUUAAUUUAAUAAAUAAUAAAUAUGAAAAAAAAUUUUAAUAUAAUAUAUUUAAUGGGGGUUAAAGUAUUUUUAUAGAAAAAAUUUAAAAAUUUAUAGUGGAAUAGUAUUGUGAAAGAAAUAUUGAAAAAAUAUUGAAAUAAAAAUUUAUUUAAAAGUAAAUUUUAUUUAUUGUAUCUUGUGUAUCAGAGUUUUUUAAAAAAAGAAAAUUGGGUAAAUUUAUUUCGAAAUUUAAAGAGUUAAUUAAUUAAAAAAGUUAAUAUUGCAUAAUUAUUUUAAAUAGUUAAUUGGAAAUGAAAAGUUAAUCGUUUUGAAUGAUAUCUAAUUUUUUUAGAAAAAAGUUUAAUUUUAAAUAAAUUUUAAAAAUAAUUAAUUAAUUAAUUAAUUUUAAAAUUUAAUUUUAUAUUUUAGGGGAUAAGCUUUAAAUUAGAAUUUUAUAAUAAAAGUAAAAAAAAAUUGAAAUUUUUAAAAUUUAUAUUUUUUAUAAAUUAUAGUUUAUUAUCAAUAAUUUCAUUUAAUUAAAAUUUUAUUUUAAUUUAAAUUUUUAUAAAAAAAUAUUUUUUAAUUAAAUAAAAAUAGGUAUAAUGAUAAAAUUAGUAUAUAAUUUAUAAAUAAAAUAAAAAUUAUUUAAAUUAAUAAAAAGGAAUUCGGCAAAAAU